rnacentral:rRNA from 2 species
UACGUAGGUGGCAAGCGUUGUCCGGAAUUACUGGGUGUAAAGGGAGCGUAGGCGGGAAGAUAAGUUGGACGUCUAAUCUAUCGGCUCAACCGAUAGUCGCGUUCAAAACUGUUUUUCUUGAGUGAAGUAGAGGUAAGCGGAAUUCCUAGUGUAGCGGUGAAAUGCGUAAAUAUUAGGAGGAACACCAGUGGCGAAGGCGGCUUACUGGGCUUUAACUGACGCUGAGGCUCGAAAGCGUGGGUAGCAAACAGG